rnacentral:rRNA from 1 species
ACGCUCGACACCUACGGGUGGCAGCAGUGGGGAAUAUUGCACAAUGGGGGAAACCCUGAUGCAGCGACGCCGCGUGGAGGAAGAAGGUCUUCGGAUUGUAAACUCCUGUUGUUGGGGAAAAAGNGGAUGGUACCCAACAAGGAAGUGACGGCUAACUACGUGCCAGCAGCCGCGGUAAUCUGAGGCGGGCGUGGCAAGGC